rnacentral:miRNA from 1 species
UUCCAGUCUGGGCUGUCAGUC